UUAGGAAUUUAUGUGUCACGGUUCCCUUUUUGUCACAAGUAACACAAAUCAUGAGUCACAAAUUUGUACGUUUUUAGAUAUUUUUUACACCCAAAUUACAACAACCCUAUAAGUUCAUUAUUAAUCAUGUAAAAUGCCCCGAUGUUAUCACCCCCUAAUCUACAUAGUUUGUAACAUAUGCACUAUAUAUAUUAUUAUAAACUACACUAUUCCUGGCCUGGAAAAAUCCGAAAAAACAUUAAACAUUUUUUCUAUGUCUGAACUAUACUUGCCAGAGAAAGCUUGUUUUAAUGUACAGUAUUCGAAAAUAGGUACAGUAUUUUAUUUACUACGAUCCUGACGAAUACACUAGCUUUUGAACAAAUGCACUUGUCAUAGAAAAAAUUGCCAAAGUACAAAUUUUGUUCGUCUGUACGGGUCAACGGAGAAAAUUUGGCGAAGUAUUCUGAGCGCUUGCAUGCGACUGACCAGCGAUCUAUUGUUGUAUUAGCUAAUAAUAGCUAUCGCGAUCAAAUAGCUAUCAGAAAACCAAGGCUUGUGUCAUAGAAAAUUUAUUGUACGUUACGUACACCACUGAUCUCCAAAUCUGGACCGGAUGGAGUAUCCUUUUGAAUUUGAAGCGUGAAUAUUUGUAAUGAGAAGAGAUUUUUAAAUCUGUCAAAUUAUCCAAGUUUCAAAUUUUUAGGUAUUAAAAUAAGCUUGACUAUCAAGCAGAUGUCUUUGCCCAUGUAACGUGAAAGAUGUAGCUUAACACACCCCUUGUAACGAGUUUUAGAACGUUUUUAAAAUACUCGAGAAGGCCAUAUUCGUGUGACUUUUUUAGUUUUUACCAGCAGUUUUAAGACGAAAGAAAGGCCACUGAUGACAAAUUUCUAUCUAUCGAUAGUAUAUGUUCUUUUCCAACAACAACGAUAAACUACUAGACUGCUCUUCCAACAUCAAUACCCUGAAUACCACAGUCAAGAUUCGUAGUGAUCACAUCAAUAUGGCCGCCAUUGGUUUUAUUCACGCAUAGCGGAUGUAGAAGAGAUCUGCAGAUGGAAACUUCGAAUGUACAUUUAUUGGACCUAACCAGAAACAGUGGUGAAAAAUGCAACUAUAGGCCCUCCAAU